GCAGCAUUGGGGAAUUUGGACAAUGGGGAAACCCUGAUCCAGCCAUCCCGCGUGUGCGAUGAAGGCCUUCGGGUUGUAAAGCACUUUGUCAGGGAAGAAAAAGGUUUCGGAUAAUACCCGGAACUGAUGACGGUACUGAAGAAUAAGCACCGGCUAACUACGUGCCAGCAGCCGCGGUAAUACGUAGGGUGCAAGCGUUAAUCGGAAUUACUGGGCGUAAAGCGUGCGCAGGCGGUUCGGAAAGAAAGAUGUGAAAUCCCAGGGCUCAACCUUGGAACUGCAUUUUUAACUACCGGACUAGAGUAUGUCAGAGGGGGGUGGAAUUCCACGUGUAGCAGUGAAAUGCGUAGAUAUGUGGAGGAACACCGAUGGCGAAGGCAGCCCCCUGGGAUAAUACUGACGCUCAUGCACGAAAGCGUGGGGAGCAAACAGGAUUAGAUACCCUGGUAGUCCACGCCCUAAACGAUGUCAACUAGCUGUUGGGCCCUUCGGGGCUUAGUAGCGCAGCUAACGCGUGAAGUUGACCGCCUGGGGAGUACGGUCGCAAGAUUAAAACUCAAAGGAAUUGACGGGGACCCGCACAAGCGGUGGAUGAUGUGGAUUAAUUCGAUGCAACGCGAAAAACCUUACCUACCCUUGACAUGUCUGGAAUCCUGAAGAGAUUUAGGAGUGCUCGCAAGAGAACCGGAACACAGGUGCUGCAUGGCUGUCGUCAGCUCGUGUCGUGAGAUGUUGGGUUAAGUCCCGCAACGAGCGCAACCCUUGUCAUUAGUUGCUACAUUUAGUUGAGCACUCUAAUGAGACUGCCGGUGACAAACCGGAGGAAGGUGGGGAUGACGUCAAGUCCUCAUGGCCCUUAUGGGUAGGGCUCCACACGUCAUACAAUGGUCGGGACAGAGGGUUGCCAAGCCGCAAGGUGGAGCCAAUCUCACAAACCCGAUCGUAGUCCGGAUUGCAGGCUGCAACUCGCCUGCAUGAAGUCGGAAUCGCUAGUAAUCGCGGAUCAGCAGCG
rnacentral:rRNA from 1 species